UCGUUCUUAACAAUAGACCAUUUGUUAUGUGCUCAUCUACGUGUCCGGGUUUGGCCGUCACCCUCUGGUAAAAACUCAGUAACGGGGAACUCGUUAUAGCUCCUUUGUCAGGAUCCCUGGGGAACGUCAGUGUUUCUGUCUCGUAGGAGCCCUUCUGGCUCGGACCCCCAAGAGCCCACCUACUACAACGUGCCAGCCUGCCUAGAAAUGCAGCCAGUGUACAGCAAUGUAAAUCCGAAAGGAGGAGGAGACGUGGUGUACUCGGAGGUCUGCAGCGUCCAGGGCAGAAACAAACGCGCUGCGGCCGCCACACCUGGGCUCCUCGAGGACAAGGAUUCCUCUGUCAUCUACUCCCAGGUGAAGGUAACUUCCACCCCAGGCUCUAGGCCCCAGCGCUCGGCUCCCUCGGCUCCUCACAGAUGAGUCCACGCAGCUCCCCAACUGCUGCUCCAGCCUCUGCACCCCAAAGCACCUUUGGGGAGACCGACACUGCCGUAGGCCACACUCCGGGGCCUGUGCGUUGUCUGACCAAGACACAGGGCCCUGCAGGCACCCCGCCUAUUUGCCAAGUUACAGCCCUGCCCUCGAGGUCCUUUGUCUGAAACGUGUUGCUCUGACCCAGGAUCCAGUCACUUCUGGUUGGUGGGUCGCGCUGAAGGUCAGGCUGAAGGUCAGGCUGAAGGUCGGGCUGACCUAGGCAAUGGGAUAUUGGAGCCAGUGGUGACUUUUGCUCUGUGUUCCUCGCCACACCCCUGCCUUGCAGUGUUCAGAGCUGCAAAAGCUUUAUGUGGCCUCUCUGAGGACCGGCCGAGAGGGAAAGCGGCCAGCCUGGGGCAGAACUGUGCCCAGCCCGGAGCACACACCCUGAAAAGUGUUCCCAGGCCUUCCCAGCGCCCACCCCAUUCUCCUCCCCCACAAGCGUCAGCACACGGCGCUGCCUCAAGCUGUUUUAGGAAACCAGACCUAAAGCAGCAGCUUCCAUAGGCCUCAGGCCACAGAGAGCACCAGCCAAAUGGCGACCACAGGCAACCCAACAGUCAGAUGCCCAGCUCGUGGCCUCAGUGAGCGCGAGGGUCAAGGGCGUCAGCAAUGCCAGUGACCUUGAGAAAGUGCCCACUUUUUCUUCAGUAAUUGUGACUUUCCUGAGCAGCUGUGGCUGCAGCAAAGCUUCAACCAUAGAAAAGAUCUUUUCAUUAAACGCCUUUCCCCUAUUGGGACUCGGGUGAUAUUUCCCACUCUCGGUGCAAGACAGCUGAUUCCCAUAUGUGUCAGGCAGCUAGGUGCCAGCCAGGGCCUUGCCGGGAGAGGCAGGGCUGGGUCUGCCCACCCGCCCUCAGCUCAGUCUUUCAGAAAGGAAACCAGACAGCAGCCGGGAGCCAGAACCACGAUCCUGUGCUGCCCCCGGAGCCAGGAGGGACGCAACACCCACAAAGGUGGGCCAGGGGCAGAGCACCCCAGGAGGCGGGACUGUAGGCUAAGCUGCAAAUCAACAGAUGACAACAGCAAGUGUAGCUCAGGACUAAAGGAAACAAUCUGCCUACAGUCUGUUAGGGAGGCCACGUGACCAAACAGCUCCGAGAAGGCUGAGCUCCAGGCCCAAAAGAGGACAGUGUGGAAUCCCUCCAUGCAAACAAGGGCACCUCCCAGGUGGAGGGCCUCCCGGUCCCCAGGACAGUAAGCACGUGGUGGCAAAGGAAACCUGUGGCUGGAGGAUUUCUUUCACUUGAGUAAAUAUUACAGACUCCAGACAGACAGACAGGUUGAUGUCAUUCUGGCGACACUGACAUGAAAGCAAUCGCUUCCAUCUCUCUCCAGGAUUCAGACACCAGUCUCUCUGGCAAGGCUGAGCUCUGGGCUCUGUGGUAACUGCUUUAGCCGCUUGGAAUCAGCCUGUUUUUAAAGUGCUGAGUCUAGGGCUAGCGCUCCAGUAGUCUGCCGUGGCCUGUUAACCCUUGGAUUCUUUUAACCUCCCUGGCGGUCUGAUUAUGU